GGCGGUCUUCGGUAGUGGCUGCCGGUGAUCUCGCGUCCCCGGCAGCUUCGAUCGACGGCCGUA
rfam:Mycobacterium sp. GA-2829 GCID_NTM_00013_NODE_59.ctg_1, whole genome shotgun sequence.